AUAAAUAUAUGAUGUUACAUCUUGGAACUACAUUCAGAGAAGGAUUAAAAUUCCUAGGGAAGUUAGCAGUUUGGGGCCUCCCCGUCAUUCUUCACAUAGGGAUUGGUAAUGGAGAAUGAGACCAAGCAAGUUUAUGGUUCUGGACCCCUGUCUAUCCACUGUGCCCCAGGUGAGUGCCUAUAGUUGCCUUAAAGGAGCACUAGAGGGUCAGGAAC